CCCCUCUCAGGAUGCACCUGGAGAGUUUCCAGUACUCUACCAGUCUCAGCUAUGGGAGGGAGAGUCGAGCAGAGGCAUACCAUUCCAUUCCUAGCCUGGGCAGUGGCUAGCGAGUAGAAGGCAAUCUGCCACAAGU